GUCAGUGAAUCAGACGAGAGUUAGACCAUAUGUUACUAGGAGUGUACCUUAUCUCCAAACACUAAGCAGAAUCCCUGUAACGCAAACAGACCUCUAUACAACCAAAAGAUGAAGCUAAUAGUGUCGUUUCUGCUCUUCGCCAUGGCAACUACAGCAUUGUCAUGCAGCGACUGGUACCAGGGGGCAGCAUGCUAUUGCGCAUGCGAGGACACCGCCAUUGCGUGUAAACAAAACUGUAACCCUCACCUCGGUGAUCCACAAGACGUCGUCUUUCGGAAUGUGUGUUCCGACUACUGCAAUAUGGACAGCCUACGAUGUAUGCGCAAAUGUUUGUCGUAGUACACAUGUUGUUAAGGCAUGUACACAGUACCAUUUCUAAUACUAAACAAGUGUGGUGCUGCACUGGGUCAAUGCAUACGAACACGUUUACAAAUUGUUAAACAAGUAAACUGAUACUAUCAAUAAAAUAUCGUGUUGAUUAA